rnacentral:rRNA from 1 species
AUAGGGGAGCCGCAGGGAAACCGAGUCUUAACUGGGCGUUAAGUUGCAGGGUAUAGACCCGAAACCCGGUGAUCUAGCCAUGGGCAGGUUGAAGGUUGGGUAACACUAACUGGAGGACCGAACCGACUAAUGUUGAAAAAUUAGCGGAUGACUUGUGGCUGGGGGUGAAAGGCCAAUCAAACCGGGAGAUAGCUGGUUCUCCCCGAAAGCUAUUUAGGUAGCGCCUCGUGAACUCAUCUUCGGGGGUAGAGCACUGUUUCGGCUAGGGGGUCAUCCCGACUUACCAACCCGAUGCAAACUACGAAUACCGAAGAAUGUUAUCACGGGAGACACACGGCGGGUGCUAACGUCCGUCGUGAAGAGGGAAACAACCCAGACCGCCAGCUAAGGUCCCAAAGUCAUGGUUAAGUGGGAAACGAUGUGGGAAGGCCCAGACAGCCAGGAUGUUGGCUUAGAAGCAGCCAUCAUUUAAAGAAAGCGUAAUAGCUCACUGGUCGAGUCGGCCUGCGCGGAAGAUGUAACGGGGCUAAACCAUGCACCGAAGCUGCGGCAGCGACACUAUGUGUUGUUGGGUAGGGGAGCGUUCUGUAAGCCGUUGAAGGUGGCCUGUGAGGGUUGCUGGAGGUAUCAGAAGUGCGAAUGCUGACAUAAGUAACGAUAAUGCGGGUGAAAAACCCGCACGCCGGAAGACCAAGGGUUCCUGUCCAACGUUAAUCGGGGCAGGGUGAGUCGACCCCUAAGGCGAGGCCGAAAGGCGUAGUCGAUGGGAAACAGGUUAAUAUUCCUGUACUUGGUGUUACUGCGAAGGGGGGACGGAGAAGGCUAUGUUGGCCGGGCGACGGUUGUCCCGGUUUAAGCAUGUAGGCGGAUGUUCCAGGUAAAUCCGGAACGUUAUUAACGCUGAGGUGUGAUGACGAGGCACUACGGUGCUGAAGUGACAAAUGCCCUGCUUCCAGGAAAAGCCUCUAAGCAUCAGGUAACAUCAAAUCGUACCCCAAACCGACACAGGUGGUCAGGUAGAGAAUACCAAGGCGCUUGAGAGAACUCGGGUGAAGGAACUAGGCAAAAUGGUGCCGUAACUUCGGGAGAAGGCACGCUGAUGGUAAGUGAAGUGACUUGCUCAUGGAGCUGAAAUCAGUCGAAGAUACCAGCUGGCUGCAACUGUUUAUUAAAAACACAGCACUGUGCAAACACGAAAGUGGACGUAUACGGUGUGACGCCUGCCCGGUGCCGGAAGGUUAAUUGAUGGGGUUAUCCUCGCGGAGAAGCUCUUGAUCGAAGCCCCGGUAAACGGCGGCCGUAACUAUAACGGUCCUAAGGUAGCGAAAUUCCUUGUCGGGUAAGUUCCGACCUGCACGAAUGGCGUAAUGAUGGCCAGGCUGUCUCCACCCGAGACUCAGUGAAAUUGAACUCGCUGUGAAGAUGCAGUGUACCCGCGGCAAGACGGAAAGACCCCGUGAACCUUUACUAUAGCUUGACACUGAACACUGGUCCUUGAUGUGUAGGAUAGGUGGGAGGCUUUGAAGUGUGGACGCCAGUCUGCAUGGAGCCGUCCUUGAAAUACCACCCUUUAAUGGCUGGUGUUCUAACGUGGGCCCGUGAUCCGGGUUGCGGACAGUGUCUGGUGGGUAGUUUGACUGGGGCGGUCUCCUCCUAAAGAGUAACGGAGGAGCACGAAGGUCAGCUAAUCCUGGUCGGACAUCAGGAGGUUAGUGCAAUGGCAUAAGCUGGCUUGACUGCGAGCGUGACGGCGCGAGCAGGUGCGAAAGCAGGUCAUAGUGAUCCGGUGGUUCUGAAUGGAAGGGCCAUCGCUCAACGGAUAAAAGGUACUCCGGGGAUAACAGGCUGAUACCGCCCAAGAGUUCAUAUCGACGGCGGUGUUUGGCACCUCGAUGUCGGCUCAUCACAUCCUGGGGCUGAAGUAGGUCCCAAGGGUAUGGCUGUUCGCCAUUUAAAGUGGUACGCGAGCUGGGUUUAGAACGUCGUGAGACAGUUCGGUCCCUAUCUGCCGUGGGCGCUGGAGAAUUGAGGGGGGCUGCUCCUAGUACGAGAGGACCGGAGUGGACGCAUCACUGGUGUUCGGGUUGUCAUGCCAAUGGCAUUGCCCGGUAGCUAAAUGCGGAAGAGAUAAGUGCUGAAAGCAUCUAAGCACGAAACUUGCCCCGAGAUGAGUUCUCCCUGAC